AGUAACGGCGAGUGAAGCGGCAACAGCUCAAAUUUGAAAUCUGGCCCUCCCAGCGGGGGUCCGAGUUGUAAUUUGCAGAGGGUGCCUUUGGCGAGGCGCCGGCCGAGGUGCCCUGGAACGGGACGCCACAGAGGGUGAGAGCCCCGUACGGCCGCGCGUCGAGCCUCUGUAAGGCCCCUUCGAAGAGUCGAGUAGUUUGGGAAUGCUGCUCUAAGCGGGAGGUAAAACUCCUUCUAAAGCUAAAUACCUGCCAGAGACCGAUAGCGCACAAGUAGAGUGAUCGAAAGAUGAAAAGCACUUUGAAAAGAGAGUCACACAGCACGUGAAAUUGUUGAAAGGGAAGCGCUUGCGGCCAGACUUGCACCCAGCGGCUCAGCCGCCCCCCGCGGGCGGUGCAAUCCGCUGGGCGCAGGCCAGCAUCGGUUCGAGGCCGGGGACAAAGGCGGCGGGGACGUGGCUCCUCAGGAGUGUUAUAACCCACCGCUACGCCCGGCCGCGGACCGAGGUCCGCGCCCUAGGGGCAAGGAUGCUGGCGUAAUGGCCCCCAGCGACCCGUCUUGAAACACGGACCAAGGAGUCGUCCUAGCAUGCGAGUGUUCGGGUGAAAAGCCCCUACGCGCAAUGAAAGUGAACGGAGGUGAGAGCUUCGGCGCAUCAUCGACCGAUCCUGAUGUCCUCGGAUGGAUUUGAGUAGGAGCAUGCUGGGCCGGACCCGAAAGAAGGUGAACUAUGCUUGGAUAGGGCAAAGCCAGAGGAAACUCUGGUGGAGGCUCGCAGCGGUUCUGACGUGCAAAUCGAUCGUCAAAUCUGAGCAUGGGGGCGAAAGACUAAUCGAACCUUCUAGUAGCUGGUUUCCGCCGAAGUUUCCCUCAGGAUAGCAGUGUUGAGCUUCAGUUUUAUGAGGUAAAGCGAAUGAUUAGGGACUCGGGGGCGCUUAUUAGCCUUCAUCCAUUCUCAAACUGUUAAAUACUGUAAGAAGCCCUCGUUGCUUCGGUGAACGUGGGCAUUCAGAAUGUAUCAACACUAGUGGGCCAUUUUUGGUAAGCAGAACUGGCGAUGCGGGAUGAACCGAUCGCGAGGUUAAGGUGCCGGAGUGGACGCUCAUCUAGACACCACAAAAGGUGUUAUCACAUCCUUGACAGCAGGACGGUGGCCAUGGAAGUCGGAAUCCGCUAAGGACUGUGUAACAACUCACCUGCCGAAUGUGAUAGCCCUGAAACAUGGAUGGCG
rnacentral:rRNA from 1 species